GGGUCAGUAGGUUGGUCGUGCCACCGGUACGUACUGGUCUCACUGAUUCCUCCUUCCUGAAGAACCGUAAUGCCAUUAAUUUGGUGUUGCGGGGAAACAGGACUGUUACUUUGAAAAAAUUAGAGUGUUUAAAGCAAGCUAACGCUUGAAUAAAUUAGCAUGGAAUAAUGAAAUAGGACGAUCGAUCCUAUUUUGUUGGUUUCUAGGAUUGACGCA
rnacentral:rRNA from 1 species